GUGUCAGCCGCCGCGGUAAGACAGAGGGUGCAAACGUUGCUCGGAAUUACUGGGCGUAAAGCGCGUGUAGGUGGUCACCCCAGUCGGAUGUGAAAGCCCAGGGCUCAACCCUGGACGUGCAUACGAUACUAGGUGGCUGGAGUCUCGGAGAGGAUAGCGGAAUUCCCGGUGUAGAGGUGAAAUUCGUAGAUAUCGGGAGGAACACCAGUGGCGAAGGCGGCUAUCUGGACGAGUACUGACACUGAGACGCGAAAGCAUGGGGAGCAAACAGGAUUAGAAACCCGGGUAGUCC
rnacentral:rRNA from 1 species